rnacentral:lncRNA from 13 species
GAGUUGUAAUGGCGGGACAAGGAUUUCAAGGUGCACUGAGGGUCAUGCUCCUUGUGUGUCUCCUUGGACUAACAAAAGAGUUUGAACUUGAGGACAAAGACUGGGACGAGUUGAGGUCUGAUGUGGCUGCGCUGCACAGAUUGAAAGGAUUACCUGAUCAAAUGACACGUAGGACCACAGGAGCAGACACCAGAGAGAUAACAAUGCACGGGACCAGGACAAAGAGAUUCAGCAAUUACAGGGCAUAUGUGGAGAAAAGGCCCAUGGCUUUAUUUGAUGGUCUUAGGGGAUGUGACAAUUUUACAACAUGUGUCAUUCAAAUGGACCAGGAUCUUGAAAGGUUUCUGGAAGAAAUUGAUGGACAAAAGAUCCAAGAUUUGCUGCUGUCUGCUUCUGAAAUGUCUUACACCUACAGCAACAAACUUCUCCUUAUAAUGGACAAGGAAGAGUGGACUCGUCAGCGAGUAGAAGAGGAGUACAGCAUAGAUCCUCAUUAUUCAGUAAUGGUAAUGAGCAGGAGAACGUACUCUUCGGUGGCAUCAAGGAUGAUGCACUGGAUGGAGGGGCCGGCCAUGACACCUUGCUGGGGGGUCAGGGCAAUGACAUCCUGAUUGGGAACAUAGGAGAUGACACUCUUUAUG